UUUUCUCUUUUCUCUCUCUGCUUUUGCUUAUUUUCUCUCAUCUGAAUCCAUUUUCUCUAUGUUUUCAGAUUCAAGCUACCACAAAACCAUUUCUUUCUUCUCGCUUCAAAGUCAUCGUAGUUGCUAGAUUUUGAUUCUCUUCUUCAUUAGGAUUAUUUUGUAACUUCAUUACAUUAAAAUAGAGAGGGGAGAUAUUCAAUUAGGUUUUAGGGGUUGUUUGUACAAUAUUCUUUAGGAAGGGGAUUUUGCAUCUUCUUUGAAUACACGAUAUUUGAAAUGAUGAAGAUAAAUGUGUGGGUAUUCUUGACUCCUAUUAGAAGAAAAAAUACAUAUCUUUGUCGAGAGGUUGGACAAGGAAUCUACGAUAAUAUUUUUAAAGCUCUAGAUUGAGACACAAGAGAUGACAUGACUCUUAAGCAGUUCUAAUUUAAUACAUUAGAGAGUGAA